AAGGUUUCCAGAGUAAAGCUGAUCUGCUCUGGGUAAGUCGGGGCCUAAGGCGAGGUCGAAAGACGUAGUCGAUGGAUAACAGGUUGAAAUUCCUGUACUAUCCUGUAACAGAACUGUGGGGACACAGGCAGAGAGCGUGAGCCGGGAAUGGAAAGACCGGUACAAGCGAGGUAGGAGAAGAGUUGGCAAAUCCGCUCUUCAAUCUGAAGACGUGAUGUGGACUGAAAAUAAGUAGGGAAGCACGUGAGCUGACUGUCAAGAAAAGCCGCUAUUGUUUGCAGGAUACCCGUACCGUAAACCGACACAGGUGGAUGAGGAGAGAAUCCUAAGGCCGACGGGAGAAGCAUUGUUAAGGAACUCGGCAAAAUGACUCCGUAACUUCGGGAGAAGGAGUGCCAGUAAGAUGGCCGCAGAGAAUUGGCCCAAGCAACUGUUUAGCAAAAACACAGGUCUAUGCAAAACCGAAAGGUGAGGUAUAUGGGCUGACGCCUGCCCGGUGCUGGAAGGUUAAGGGGAGAGGUUAGCGCAAGCGAAGCUUUGAACUUAAGCCCCAGUAAACGGCGGCCGUAACUAUAACGGUCCUAAGGUAGCGAAAUUCCUUGUCGGGUAAGUUCCGACCCGCACGAAAGGCGUAAUGAUUUGGGCACUGUCUCAACAAUGCACCCGGUGAAAUUGAAAUACCAGUGAAGAUGCUGGUUACCUGCGCCAGGACGGAAAGACCCCAUGGAGCUUUACUCCAGCUUGAUACUGGGAUUCGGUAUUGCAUGUACAGGAUAGGUGGGAGGCUAGGAAAUGGUAACGCCAGUUGCCAUGGAGCCAAUGUUGGGAUACCACCCUUGCAGUACUGGGUUUCUAACCAGCAGCCGUGAUCCGGCUGGGGGACAAUGUCAGAUGGGGAGUUUGACUGGGGCGGUCGCCUCCGAAAGGGUAUCGGAGGCGCUCAAAGGUUCCCUCAGAAUGGUUGGAAACCAUUCGAAGAGUGCGAAGGCAGAAGGGAGCUUGACUGCGACACCGACGGGUGGAGCAGGUACGAAAGUAGGACUUAGUGAUCCGGUGGUAUAAAGUGGGAUUGCCAUCGCUCAACGGAUAAAAGCUACCCUGGGAUAACAGGCUUAUCACUCCCAAGAGUUCACAUCGACGGAGUGGUUUGGCACCUCGAUGUCGGCUCAUCGCAUCCUGGGGCUGAAGUAGGUCCCAAGGGUUGGGCUGUUCGCCCAUUAAAGCGGUACGCGAGCUGGGUUCAGUACGUCGUGAGACAGUUCGGUCCCUAUCCGGCGUGGGCGUAAGAUAUUUGAGAGGAGCUGUCCUUAGUACGAGAGGACCGGGAUGGACUGGCCGCUGGUGUAUCUGUUGUCUUACCAAAGGCAUAGCAGAGUAGCCAAGCCGGGAAGGGAUAAACGCUGAAGGCAUCUAAGCGUGAAGCCCCCCUCAAGAUGAGAUAUCUCAUAACGUCAAGUUAGUAAGACCCCUUGAAGACGACGAGGUAGAUAGGGCAGAGGUGGAAGUGUGGUAACACAUGGAGCUGACUGUUACUAAUAGGUCGAGGGCAUAACC
rnacentral:rRNA from 1 species